rnacentral:rRNA from 1 species
UACGGAGGGUGCAAGCGUUGCUCGGAAUCACUGGGCGUAAAGCGACCGCAGGCGGCCUGAAAAGUCGGAUGUGAAAGCCCUGGGCUCAACUCAGGAACUGCAUUCGAAACUGGUAGGCUCGAGUACGGGAGAGGGGGGUGGAAUUCCUGGUGUAGGGGUGAAAUUCGUUGAUAUCAGGAGGAACACCGGCGGCGAAGGCGGCCCCCUGGCCCGCAACUGACGCUCAUGGUCGAAAGCGUGGGGAGCAAACAGG